ACAGAAAUACCCUCAGGUGGCGUCGGACGCAAACAAACAAAGAAAGCACAAUCAUCUACCGUCAUCGCCUUUUAUCUCUGCAUAAGAUGGUCAGUCACUCUGAGAGAUGCCCUUAAAGCUUUCCUUGCUCUUUUAUUUUGCCAGUCGAAAUCUGAAAGAUCCUUUUACUCUUCGUCACUCUAGCCAAAAGGACAAAAGCUUCAAAUCGCAUCCUGAUUGGCGGAAGCUUGUCCAAAGUUGGUGAAUAGAUGGGAAAGAAGCUAGUACUAGGCACAUUCAUCUAGUUUCGAAAUCGCAAAUGUUGUCGAACCAGUUCGUAAUCUCCUUGUUCCUUCUUCUUUGUCUCCCCAUCGUCUUCUUCCUCGUUGCCCCUCAUGUCUUCUCCCCUCCUCCACGCGAAUCUCUCAUCCCUAUCGCCGACGAGAUCGACGACCAGAUCCUAUUCCGCCGCGCCUCCGCCGGAUCCUCCUCGCAUCUUUCCUCCGGAACCCCACACCCUAAGCUCAAAAUCGCCUUCCUUUUCCUCACAAACUCCGACCUCCACUUCGCGCCAAUCUGGGAUGGCUUCUUCUCCGGCCACCCUCGGUCUCUCUACAACGUCUACGUCCACGCCGCAUGGCGUAGGAAAACUCUUAGUUUGUAAGAAAAAUACAAGCAUGCAAAACUAUUAGAUUUUAAUGUUUGCAUUUGAAACAUCAAUCCUCCGUUUAUUUAUCUACAUAUAUAAAGUAUUGUUUCCUUAAUUCGAAGCGCGGCAACUGAAUUCAUUUAGUAUUUGAAUUGACAUUUUAAGUUUCAAAAGUGGUGUAACAUUAGAUGCGAUAACUACUUCCCAAGAUGUGGAGAAUCAGAAGAAUCAGCUACUCAUGCAAUUUUUGAUUGUCCACCAGCUCUACAAGUUUGGGGCUUAUCUUCGACGCCAACGAGUUCAAUUAUCUUUCAUGUUUCGAGUAUCUAUGCUAACGUGGAUUAUCUCUUUCGGAAGAAUAGCAUUGUUGAGCCAGAUAUAGAUAGAGAUCCUUAUCCAUGGGUAAUAUGACACAUUUGGAAGGACAUAAAUGAUAAACUCUUUAGGGAAUAGACCGAGUCCUUUGAAGCUAGUUUGCUAUGCAGAGAAUGAGUGUUAAGCCUGGUUCAAUGCAAAUGAGAUGGUGCCAUCAACUUCACAAAACCAUAGUAAUGACGAACCUCAAGUCUUAAGCUUGGGUAAUAUCUGCAUAAUAGACGGGUCAUGGAUAUCUACAUCACAGUUCAGCGGGUGUGGAUGGGCUUGGAUGGACAGCUUGGAGAAGGAAUUCAACUUAUGGGGAUAUGAAAUUAUAUUCGACGAAAGUCUCCUCUGCACUCAGAAGUAGAAGCACUAAGAUGGGCGAUGGAGAAUAUGCUGUAAUACUCGACAUGCAGAGCUUUGGAACAUACUGCAAGGAUUUGUUCGCCAUGAUUGAGGAACCACACGCUUUGCCAAGUUUUGCAACAUAAUUAGAGAGGAUAGAGACUUUGCAAAUAUGUUUACCAGACUUUGCAACAACAAAAAAAUGCUUUAACCAUAUAUAUGUGUGUAUAUAUAUAUCUUUUUUUUUUGUCAACAUAUAUAUAUGAAUCUUAGUUCUAGACAUUAGACACGUUGAUGUUGAUCAUUUUCCUAAAAGCUAAAAUAACAUGAUCAAAUUAUCACCGACGAGAUCAUGGCGUUAACACAAGUGGGAGGCAAGGAACGCAAUCGUUACAUGACGUGGUUAGGGACACAGAGUGUGUGUGGGUCAUGGAUUGACAGAAAUACCCUCAGGUGGCGUCGGACGCAAACAAACAAAGAAAGCACAAUCAUCUACCGUCAUCGCCUUUUAUCUCUGCAUAAGAUGGUCAGUCACUCUGAGAGAUGCCCUUAAAGCUUUCCUUGCUCUUUUAUUUUGCCAGUCGAAAUCUGAAAGAUCCUUUUACUCUUCGUCACUCUAGCCAAAAGGACAAAAGCUUCAAAUCGCAUCCUGAUUGGCGGAAGCUUGUCCAAAGUUGGUGAAUAGAUGGGAAAGAAGCUAGUACUAGGCACAUUCAUCUAGUUUCGAAAUCGCAAAUGUUGUCGAACCAGUUCGUAAUCUCCUUGUUCCUUCUUCUUUGUCUCCCCAUCGUCUUCUUCCUCGUUGCCCCUCAUGUCUUCUCCCCUCCUCCACGCGAAUCUCUCAUCCCUAUCGCCGACGAGAUCGACGACCAGAUCCUAUUCCGCCGCGCCUCCGCCGGAUCCUCCUCGCAUCUUUCCUCCGGAACCCCACACCCUAAGCUCAAAAUCGCCUUCCUUUUCCUCACAAACUCCGACCUCCACUUCGCGCCAAUCUGGGAUGGCUUCUUCUCCGGCCACCCUCGGUCUCUCUACAACGUCUACGUCCACGCCGAUCCCUUCGUCAACAUCACCAGACCCGGCAACGGCUCCGUCUUCCAGAACGCCUUCAUCACCUCCGCCAAACG
rnacentral:lncRNA from 1 species